GAUGAAGAACGUAGCGAAAUGCGAUACGUAAUGUGAAUUGCAAAUUCAGUGAAUCAUCGAGUCUUUGAACGCACAUUGCGCCCCCUGGUAUUCCGGGGGGCAUGCCUGUCCGAGCGUCAUUGCUGCCCUCAAGCACGGCUUGUGUGUUGGGCCCCGUCCUCCGAUCCCGGGGGACGGGCCCGAAAGGCAGCGGCGGCACCGCGUCCGGUCCUCGAGCGUAUGGGGCUUCGUCACCCGCUCUUGUAGGCCCGGCCGGCGCUUGCCGACACAUCAAUCUUUUUUCCAGGUUGACCUCGGAUCAGGUAGGGAUACCCGCUGAACUUAAGCAUAUCAAUAAGCGGAGGA
rnacentral:misc_RNA from 1 species